UCUAGAACUCGAGAUAUGGGCUGAACAUUAAACAGUGUCUGGGCUGCAGGACAAAUUCUAACUUUUCUGUUGUUGCUACAAUUUGAACU
rfam:Populus trichocarpa scaffold_1_contig_428, whole genome shotgun sequence.